AUGACAAAAUAAAACCUCCUAUAAUUUUAUAACACAAAUAAGAUUUUUAAAAAUAGAGCCGUGUCACGAUGUCACUUUGACAUUUGCGUCGGUCAUGACCACGUGAAGAGCUUAGAUCAUUUUGUUAUUUUUUUUAUAUAUUUACCUUUUGGAUUUUUUUAAACAUGAAAGCUAUUGGAAAUUAGUUUGCGAGUGAUGUCUGCACAAGUGAUGGAGCAACCGAAAGGCGAUUCACCGAAACUUCCCGAUAUGAUCAUGUGCGGGGACCAUCCAUCGGUGACCAAGACGGAGCUGAACGCCCGCGAGCCGCGCGCAGACAAGACCAAGCCUAAGGCAGUCUCGCACUCGCGGAUCACGCCCUCGUCGUCGCGCACGGAGCGGCCGCCGCCGCCGGGCUCGGAGCUGG